CGCGCAGGCGGCUGGUCAAGUCCGAUGUGAAAUCUCCCGGCUCAACUGGGAAACUGCAUCGGAAACUGAUCGGCUUGAAGGUGGGAGAGGGUAGUGGAAUUCCCGGUGUAGUGGUGAAAUGCGUAGAUAUCGGGAGGAACACCAGUGGCGAAGGCGACUACCUGGCCCAUUCUUGACGCUGAGGCGCGAAAGCUAGGGGAGCGAACG
rnacentral:rRNA from 1 species